CACCCAGCGCCGGGCUCCGCGA
rnacentral:misc_RNA from 1 species